UUAGCGAUGCACCUGAUUGGUCCAUUUUUUGCGUCGUUACCAUAUGACCAAUGCUCGUCAGGACGGUCUAAAUCCAUGACGGCCUAGUCGCUGAUUAAGAUAAUUAUAAAUCUGAUUAUUAAAUGAUACAAAUAUCAAUUUGUAUGGACGUAAUCGAGAUAGAUAUUAAUAAUUGUGAUCAUCUUCAUUCGCAAUGUCAUGAUCUUGACUGUCAAUGUCCCUGCUUGAAAAAGGCUGGUGAUCAAUUAUCUAGGCCGUCGUCAGUUUAGGCCGUAUUGACCAGAUUCCUCUCUGACAUGCGCACUGAGACUUAGCAACAAGAAUCAACAAACGACAAUGGAUUAUUAAAACUUAAAAAUCGCCAUAAAUUCGCUUCUCUUGUUUUGUGAAGACAGCGUGAAAAUAUUCUGUUUCAAUGCACCAUGUGGGGCUUCUCCGACCAUGCAUCACCCUUGCAUUGGGUUCCAGGCUCAGGCAGUAUUUCCGCCUUAGGAAUGAAAAGUCCUCUUCCUCCUCCUCCUCCUCCUCAUCCUCCACCUUCUCAUCCUCCUAUGCCGAGUCAUCAUGAGUGGCGAGUCUGCUGGUCACCUUUCCUGAAGUUUUCGCGACCUGUAAAUGACGUUUAAAUGUAAAAGUUACAAAUCGUUUGGUAUGGUUUUGUAUUAGACAUUGAUAGAAAUAUGAGAAAUUAAAUACAAAAACCACACGAACACAAUUUAACACUUACUUUCCGGAAACAGCCCUCUUGUGUAAACAAAAUUGAAUGUCCCAGCCUCCAUUUUGUGCUCCUGUUCUAGAUGACGCAGCCGGUCAAUCACCGACCGGUCGCACAGCCAGCAAGAGUAGUAAUUCGUCGGCUUUGUCUUCUUCACUUUCCGACCGGUCUUAGCACGUGCCUCUGACAUCAACGGCUUCAUGGGGUCUGCCGUCAGCGCUUGCACCCAGCGAACGUGGUCUGUUACCCAGAGGUACACAGUCGUGUUGCCUUUUACCACGCAAAUGGGGCAUUGCCUUGGGAUAGGCUUUGCGUUUGGUGUC